CAAUAGCGUAUAUUAAUGUUGUUGCAGUUAAAAAGCUCGUAGUUGGAUUUCUGCGCCGCGCAGCUCGGUCCGCCGCAAUGCGGUGCGACUGUGGCUGGAGCGUCGCAUCCUUGUGGAGACCUUUGAUGCCAUUGAUUUGGUGUCUUAUGGGAACCGCAUCGUUUACUGUGAAAAAAUUAGAGUGUUCAAAGCAGGCAUACGCCGUGAAUACAUUAGCAUGGAAUAAUAAGAUAGGACUUUGGUUCUAUUUUGUUGGUCGGAGGCCAAGGUAAUGAUUAAUAGGGAUAGUUGGGGGUAUUCAUAUUUAAUUGUCAGAGGUGAAAUUCUUGGAUUUAUGAAAGAUGAACUUAUGCGAAAGCAUUUACCAAGGAUGUUUNCAUUAA
rnacentral:rRNA from 1 species